rnacentral:rRNA from 1 species
GGUGCUGCAUGGCUGUCGUCAGCUCGUGUCGUGAGAUGUGGUUAAGUCCCGCAACGAGCGCAACCCUUGUCAUUAGUUGCUACAUUCAGUUGGGCACUCUAAUGAGACUGCCGGUGACAAGCCGGAGGAAGUGGGGAUGACGUCAAGUCCUCAUGGCCCUUAUAGGUGGGGCUACACACGUCAUACAAUGGCUGGUACAAAGGGUUGCCAACCCGCGAGGGGGAGCCAAUCCCAUAAAGCCAGUCGUAGUCCGGAUCGUAGUCUGCAACUCGACUACGUGAAGUUGGAAUCGCUAGUAAUCGUGGAUCAGAAUGUCACGGUGAAUACGUUCCCGGGCCUU